GUGGAUCCUUGGGUCUAGCUCUGGCUCUGGAGGCAGAGAGCAGCCUAAGUCAUCGUGAACAAGUGGCCCCAUCACAGCAGCAGCAGGAGCUCCACGAUGCGCAGGCGGCCACCGAGCCUGAAAAACAAGUUCAGAAAUACAGAAAUACGCCACCACUAUGUCUGCAAAACAAUCAGCCACGUGGAUCCUGGCUGUAACACUGGGCUUAGAGACUGCAGCCACGCAUCCUGGGAGGCAGCACCGCUGCACAGUCAGCCCUCGUGGUCAUCUGAUGUUUUCAGUUACAAGGAAAAACAGGAGCAUAGAGAAACAAAGAGAAUGGCAGAACAGCAAAGGAAUUUUAAAUGGACAAAGAAUUCAUGGUGUUGGCAUUUUAAUGCUAUACUACUGCCUUUUUAAUGGAUUUAUCCAACUGCA